rfam:Selaginella moellendorffii unplaced genomic scaffold SELMOscaffold_35, whole genome shotgun sequence.
GUCAGGAUGGCCGAGCGGUCUAAGGCGGCAGGCUCAAGUUCUGCUCCUCUCACGAGGGCGUGGGUUCAUAUCCCACUUCUGACU